rnacentral:pre_miRNA from 1 species
UUGAUAUUCCCUCCGUCCGAAAAUACUUGUCAUCAAAAUAAAUAAAAGGGGGUGUAUCUAGAUGUAUUUUAGUUCUAGAUACAUCCCUUUUUGUCCAUUUUGAUGACAAGUAUUUUCGGACGGAGGGAGUAGCAA